rnacentral:rRNA from 1 species
GGGGAAUUUUUCGCAAUGGGCGCAAGCCUGACGGAGCAAGACCGCGUGCGGGAGGACGGCCUAUUGGUUGUAAACCGCUUUUGAUAGGGAAGAAGUUCUGACGGUACCUAUCGAAUCAGCAUCGGCUAACUCCGUGCCAGCAGCCGCGGUAAUACGGAGGAUGCAAGCGUUAUCCGGAAUUAUUGGGCGUAAAGCGUCCGUAGGUGGUUGUUCAAGUCUGCUGUUAAAGCGUGCGGCUUAACCGCAUACCAGCAGUGGAAACUGGGCGACUAGAGUGCGGUAGGGGUCAGGGGAAUUCCCAGUGUAGCGGUGAAAUGCGUAGAUAUUGGGAAGAACACCGGUGGCGAAAGCGCCUGACUGGACCUGCACUGACAC